rnacentral:siRNA from 1 species
CAUACCCGCCCCGCAUUGCCC